rnacentral:lncRNA from 1 species
AGCAGAAACUUAAAAGAAUGGGUAAUACUUAACUGUUUUUGUAAAUUAGGUUCCCGAGGUCAUUAAGAGAAUAAUCUAAGAUAAAACAAGUUUGUAAGCUCAUUCAAUACCUUUGAAAACCGCACUCUCAGCAGCUUUACAAAACACGGCACACAUGAGUCAUUUAAGCUCGAUCGCGUGUAAAAUAAUAAAAACAACGGAUAUUUGAUGCUAGAAUAGUUCACAAUAUGUUAGGAGGUAUCUAGAAACACAGAGGAAUUCAAAAACCCACAUGUCAAAAAAAGUGAAAUUUUCCAAAAACCUGUGUGUUAUAGCAAAGGGUUUCAGCUCAAACNNNNNNNNNNNNNNNNNNNNGAGAAAAUAAAAAUCGUACAAAUUAAAAUGAACGUUAAAAUAUUCCGCAAUAUUAAUUGUUCAACCAUGAACUAUAGCAUGCAUUUAUUUAAAAUAAACGUCCACUCACGAAUUAGGCCUAAGCCUGAUGUCAAUCUGGGGUCUCGUCUGCUCGAGCCUCUUCACGUCCUGUUCCAAAUAUAAUAUUAAUUUCCCAACCAAUAUCCAAUAUUUAAUCAAAAUAGGCAAAAUUACCCGAGAGCCAUUAUUACGCUCAUCAUUGCCUAACUUCGAUAUUCUUACAUCGGAACAAUCCGAACUUAAAUAUCAUACUCAACAGUCGUAAAUACAACCUCUCCAAAAUACGACUUAAAUCCAACGGCCGGAUUCUACAUUAAUUACCCGCCAAAAAUAUCACACUUCGGAAAUUCAUAAAUCUAUCCAAAACUCAUCCAAAAAUUCCAUAACUCACUUCAAUAAACUCCCCUUAAUAUUCCAAAUUUAACAACAUUAAAAUCUCCCAACCGGCGGCGGCGCCGCCGGCAGCGGCGGCCGGAGGUCAAUUCCGGCGACCUCCAAAACCUAUGAAAUUUUAACAGCAUCUUCCUCUCAUCAAGCUCUACAACUUUCAUAACUAGCACAAACACCAAUUCCAAGCCUAACUAGGGCAAUCGACUAAAAACAUCAAAAACACCAUAAAACUUCCACCUCAAAUUUCUCCUUACCUAGCUCAAGAGGGAGUGAGUCCUUUUAGGGCAAGGUUGCUGGGUUGGAGGGCUACAAAACCAUACCAAGCUUGUCCGGAUUGGUGGCCGGAGGAGGAAGUUCCGGCGAAGGGAAGCUCGGGGCAGCCCUUGCUUUCGGGCGGCACCGCUCUCUCACGGCGGCGCUAGGGCUCCUCUCACCGGUCUAAAAAUGUUGCUGGGAGGGAGACCGACCAAACGGGACCGGUCCGGCGGCGAACGGAGGUCGGACGGCGGCGGGAGGACGGCCGGAAUUCUGCUGGGUGUAGAGAGGGGAAAACCGGGUGAGAAGAGAAGAAAAAUCGGGAGGGAGGGAGAAGAGAAAGAAGAAGAAAUGGGUUGGGCUCGGCCCAGCCGACCCAACACCCCUUUUAACCCAUAAUUCCAAAAUUCAACACCCCGAAAAAUAAUACCCGAAUAAAAAUUACCGUUUACUAGCUAAAAUUUACUAUUUUUACCGUCGCCGUAUAAUCCCCAUACGAAUUAUCCUCCGCACAUAAUCGUCCCUGAAACCCCUCUAGGGACCAAUUAAACUAUUUACUCAAUGAUCGAGACGGUAAAAUUCUUAUUAUAAUCACGCUAGUAAAUAAGGUAAAAAUAUAAGGGUCGGGAUGUGACACAGGAUGUUUCACAAUAUGUUAGAAUGCGUCUAGAAGAGGAAUUCAAAAAACAACAUGUCAAAAAAGUGAAAUUUUCCAAAAACUUGUGUGAUAGCAAGGGGUUUCGGCUCAAAUCGUGCGAAACUUGAAAGAAUGGCUAAUAUGAAACUGUUUUUGAAAAUUCAGGUUCCCGAGGUCAUUAAGAGAAUAAACUAAGACAAAACAAGCUUGGAGGCUCAAUCAAUACCUCUGAAAACCACACUUUCAGCAGCUUUACAAAACACGGCACACGUCAGUUAUUUAAGCUCGAUCGCGAGUAAAUUAUUAAAGCAACAGAUUUUUGAUGCUAGAAUGGUUCACAAUAUGUUAGGAGGCGUUUAGAAGUAUAGAGGAAUUCAAAAAACCACAUGUCAAAAAAAGUGAAAUUUUCCAAAAACCUGUGUAUAGCAAGGGGUUUCAGCUCAAAUCGAGCGAAAUUUGAAAGAAUGGGUAAUACGUAACUGUUUUUGAAAAUUCAGGUUCUCGAGGUCUUUAAGAGAAUAAACUAAGCAAAACAAGCUUGGAAGCUCACUCAAUACCUCUGAAACCCACAUUUUUAACAACUUUACAAAAACACGGCACACGUGAGUCAUUUAAGCUCGAUCGCGAAUAAAAUAAUAAAAGCAACGGAUUUUUGAUUCUAGGAUGUUUCACAAUAUGUUAGGAUGCGUCUAGAAGCAUAGAGGAAUUCAAAAAACCACAUGUCAAAAAAGUGAAAUUUUUCAAAAACUUGUGUGCUAGAGCAUGGGGUUUCGGCUCAAAUCGGACGAAACUUGAAAGAAUGGGUAAUACAUAACUGUUUUUGAAAAUUUAGGUUCCUGAGGUUAUUAAGAGAAUAAACUAAGACAAAACAAGCUUGGAAGCUCACUCAUUACCUCUGAAAGCCAGACUUUCAGCAGCUUUACAAAACACGGCACGCGUGAGUCAUUUAAGCUCGAUCGCAAGUAAAAUAAUAAAAACAAUGGAUUUCUGAUACAAGAAUGGUUCACAAUAUGUUAGGAGGCGUCUGGAAGCAUAGAGGAAAUCAAAAAACCACAGGUCAAAAAAGUGAAAUUUUCCAAAAACAUGUGUGCUAUAACAAGGGGUUUCGGCUCAAAUCGAGCGAAACUUGAAAAAAUAGGUAAUACGUAACUGUUUUUGAAAAUUCAAGUUCCCGAGGUUAUUAAUAGAAUAAACUAAGACAAAACAAGUUUAGAAGCUCACUCAAUACUUCUGAAAACCACGUUUUCAGCAGCU